UUAUUUUACUAUCAGUGGUAAGUUCACUAUCACAUUAUAUUUAUAUCUAUUUAUUUUUGGCUUUCUAGCCAUUAUGUUGUUGAUUUUCUUUUUAAAAUAAUACCUAAUAAUGUACAUUAUUCUUCUUUAAUAUUUUAUUUAGUCUAGUUUUUGAUGUAUAUUUAUUUUAUUAAGUUUGUUAUACUCCAUAAUUGUGUUAUUGUUUGGAUUAAGCUUUUUCAUUGUAUAUUGAAAUGUUUUGGUCUGAAAUAUUUUUUAUAUAUCAUCUGGUGUGUCAAUUACCACUUGAUGAGUCUUUCUUCUCAGCCUUCUGAUUUUUUGACAUUAAAUGUUAUGAUAAUAAUUUUCUAUAUUGUAUAAUUUAAAUUUCAGUUAUUUAUAUAUAUAUAUAUAUAUAUGUUGUUUGGUCAUCAAAUUUGUUACUAUGAUGUGUUAACUACCAUUUGAUGAGUCUUUCUCAUUAAACUUUUUUUAACUUUUCUGGUUCGUUGUAUUCAGGAUAUGCAAUGUAUAUCUUGGUCUCAAUAGAUUGUGCGGUUUUGUGAUGUUACUUUUAUAAAUCAUUGAGUGCUUGUUUAUUUUAGAAUCAAAUAUCUUCACCUUGUUUGCAAAAUAUUAAUCUUUUAGCCUGCUAGGUACCUUUGAGUUCUCUGGUAGUACGUGAUGGGCCAGGUGAGUUGAUCAUCCCAGCCAGGGAUACUAUGGCGAUGAGAUCAUUUGAAGCUUCAAGUGACGUCUGAUCUAAUAGUUUGACCUGGCCCACAAAACCGGUUUGGUUUUCAAACAGAUGACGUACAAAUAGAUGAACACUGGGAGUCGUGUUUAAAUAAUAAUUUUGGUGGGGGCUAGAAGGAGGUAAACCAGAAUGCCAAGUGUCAAUGUCCAUAAGUUUUCGGAGGAGAAAGUUUAAAUGUUCCAGAUUUUAUAAAUUUCGGACAAUGAUGAUGUUCAUGAGAUGUCUCAGUAAAAAGCUUUUUAUUUGAUGUUUGGAUA